rnacentral:lncRNA from 1 species
GGGCUACCCACUUCAGGUCCCCUCUUGUGUCAAGAGCUGUUCUGUUGUCUCUUCUCUGCCUUGCUUAUUCUCCAGUUGUCCAUGUAACCUCAUUCUUCUUGGACAUGGGACAAGAACCCAGUACCCACCAAAUGGCAGGUGCAAAAAAUGCUGUAACACUGUAGCCCUCCAACCCUCUGCUGGCACCAGGCUGUUGCUUCAUGUAACAGGAAGCAGUGGCAAUGGGGCCAGGCCAGCCAAGAAGCUAUGAGCUGGAAUGUGGGCAGCAGGACUGAACAAGCUGUAAAACAAAUGAGCUGAAACUUGCUGCCCUCCCACCCCCAUUCACUGUGCUGCAGGCAGUGGAAAGAAGAGAGAGAUGUAUCACUCCUUGAGGGCUCAGACCUCAGGACUCCCCAAGCAACUGUAACACCCCUUGGGCUCCACAGUUGCUGGCAUCUCUGAGUUUUCAGAAGCCACUGCAGCCUCCUUGUCCAGACACUGGCACCCAAGCAGAAAUGAUUCAAGACAGCACACCCGGACCAGUCAUGGACUGAGCACAGAGUUGGCAGGCACUGGAUCCAGGCCCAUAGCACAAGCUGAGUGCAAUCACUGGGCUGAGUGAGAGGAGUAAGCCUAGCAGAAAACCCAGUGCCAAGCAAAGCCUGAGCAAAGGCACCACUAGCCACAGAGCUUUCCUGCUGGCAAAGGAGCACCAAAAGAAUCCUGUGUCAUUUCUGGGGGUCAUCUGAGAUCUGCAAAAGGGUCACUAAAGGCAUCUAAGUGUCUUGGUUGAUUCUUCUGAACUAAGCCACUUAGUUCAUUGAGUCUCUCCUUUCUGCAGUAUUCUCCUUAACCUAGACCAGGAAGCUGAACCUGCUGGAUAUCUUCCAUUUUCCCUUCAGAUCAAUUUUCUGCAUCUAUGAAGUAAGAAACCCAGCUUCUGCCAAGAAAUCCUGCUGCUUCUAGCCUGAGUCUUACACUGCCUGUGGCUUCUUAGUGCCUUAAAAAACAAUCCCUCCAUUAAACUCUACUGAAAUUGUCCAAUUGGAUUGUGCCAUCUCUGGUUCUGCAAAGACCCUUACUGAUACAUGGAAACUGGCAUAUCCUGGAAUCAAGUCUCCUGGAGGGAUUGGGAGUGACAAGUAUAUCUCAAUACAUCAGAACUGAUUAUUUCCUACUCUAUGGUGACCUACUCUAAGGAGAUUCGAGGCAAUUUUAAAAAUCCAAUAAAAGGGGGGUUAGAAUAUCAAUCAUAGCAUGGAGGUUAUAAAGUAGCAAUUACUGAGGAAGCUUACCAGACAGGAGGUCCUGAGGGCAGCCAUGCGAGAGGAGUAUAAUUCUGCUGGGCAGGUGUAGGAAGGAUGGACUGUAGAAAAGACCAGGAAUUCUGCAGGUCCAGUCACAUAAUUAAAGGCACUGGUGGGGAAAGAAAUCAUCAAGAUACAUGCAAAGUUUGUGAAGGAGUAUAAAAACACAGUUAGAUAAAAAGAAUAGAGAAGUUCUAGUAUUCAUAAGUAGAAUAUAAAAAUUAUAGUUAACAAUGACUUAUUGUAGAUUUUAAAGUAGCUAGGAAAGAAAAAUUGCAAUGUUCCUAACACAAAGGAAAGAUAAAUGUCUAAGGUGGUGGAUAUCCCAAUUACCCUGAUUUGAUCAUUACACAUUGUAUACAUGUAUCAAAAUACCAUAUGUACCCCAAAAAUAUGUCCAGCUAUUAUAUAUCAAUAAAAGUAAACAAAAUAAGAAUUUUAACAAAGUCAA